UCUGCACUCGGCCACCUUAACCCUGGCUGCUAGGCAGUUCUGCUUUCAAUGGAGAACUAAGCCUCCGGUCCACGAUCCCAGAGCCUCGGCUGCCUGCCACCCCUCUGUUCUUCUUUGGAAAUGGGUAAUGAAGAGGUCUGAGUAGACGGUGACAAAGAUUCUCCGUAACCAAAUUUUAGUUAGGCUUCUCCGAGUCUUCUGUCUACUGGGCUGUACCAUGGCCUUCCUUUUUGUCCUAGCAGAAUACUGCUAAGUCAUCCUCUCAUCCUGACACCUGAUCACUCUUGGUAUUUUGACACUUGAUAUCUGAGGAUAUUUCUUUUAUUCCCCCGCCUGUGAUGUAUAAAUUCUUGGCCUGCCUUUGUUAAGAAUCCCCCCUGCCUUUGAUGUUCUUCUCCUCCUAGUAAUUUUCAAUCCACUUGUUUCUUGGCUAUAAGUCUCCAGCUGUCUUUGCUGUUUUCUGAGUUUCCCUCAGUUCUCCCCCGCCUCCCAUAUCAGUUAGAACUGCUAUUACAAUGGACUUUAAUGAAUACUUCAUCAAGGGGAUGUGGCUCAGUGGUCGAGUAAGCUUUCCUAGCAUGUGCCAAGCCUAGUUUCAUCUCCAAGAGCGUCAAAACAAUUUUAAAAUUAUGUUUUAAUAAGUAUCCAAAUAUUUUUUCUUUAAUAACAGCAAUCUCUCUGCCACAUUCCCAGGAGGACCAUAGAGUGUAUAUAUAUAUAUAUAUUAUAUAUAUAUAUUUAUUAUUAGUUGUUCAAAACAUUACAAAGCUCUUGACAUAUCAUAUUUCAUACCAUAGAACAUAUUUUAAAUCUCAAUUGCCUAAUCAAUAAAAAGGGGAUGUUAAUAAUCCCUGCUCUGUGUUCUAGUCAAAGAGAGAUGGUGAAGCCCAGAAAAGA
rnacentral:lncRNA from 1 species